GACUGAGGUGACUUAGCACUUAGCACAAGAUGGGCAGACAGUACAGGGUUAUAGGUAAAGCAAUGAUAUGAUCAGGUUUGAACUUUGGAAUGGCUGCUCUGGAUUCCUGGAGGGAAAUGGAUUGGAAAGGGGCAAGGGUGAAUUGGAAAUCAGUUAAGAACUGGCUGUAGGAGUCCCAGCAGAAAGAACUGGCUGUAGGAGUCCCAGCAGAAAGUGCUAUGGCAUGGCCUGGUGGUAGCAGCAAAGAUCUGGGAAGGGAGUGGCAACCCAUUCCAGUAUUCUUGCCUGGAGAAUCCCAUGGACAGAGGAGUCUUGCAGGCUACCACCAUGGUGUUGCAACUGAGUGACUGAGCACAAACACACGCUCACAGCUGACAAAAUUACUUUCAAGGCCUCGAAUGAAUGUCAGAGCACUCAGCACCUUAGAGGAGUGUUUUGAAUCUGGUUAAUCAUGAAAAAUCCACCCCCUUCGUGAAAGUAUUUUAAAAAACAGACUAUUCAAAAGGGAGAGGAUGUAUAUAGAUAUCUAUGGCUGAUUCAUGUUGAUGUUUAACAGAGAACAACAAAAUUCUGUAACGCAAUUAUCCUUCGAUAAAAUAAUUAAUUAAUUAAAAAGAAAAACUGGCUAUUUUCCCCUUGGAGAAAAGAGCUCUUUUCAAAGAAAAAGUAGUGUCUUAGCCUUAAUGUUCAUGUUACUUAAGAGAACAUCUCCUGAUAAAUGGGAAAGGUAUUUCUGUAAAUAACUAAAUACUGCAAAUUUACUAAAACUGAAUUCACUGUUGUAUACAACAAAUUGUAUUGAAAAAAAUUUAUUGUCAACCUAAGGGUUGAAUCAAAAAAAUGUUAGUUCUGUGUUUUUUUAAAGAAAAUUUUUUUUAAAUUAAAGGUAGUUUGGGGAAAAAAAUCAGAUAAUGUACCUGAACUAAUGUAAAAUAUAAAAUGAAAUUAGCUUGUCAUCAACAAAUUGCUACUAUUACCACCUCUCUCUUUAACACUGGGUGUAGACUUUUGUCGAGAACAUCUGUAAAAAAGGCCAUCCAAUGACUUUCAUGGGCCCUAGGCACUAUUGUCUUCCUGGGCUUCUUCCUCUGAUUAAAAAUAAAAGUAAAAGCUAUAUUUUAUGACUGUGUUGGACUAAUGCAAUCAAAGGUGGAUUCGUUAUCGCAUAUUCAUUACUAUUACAUUGAUUUCCCCCCUUCUGAUUGAAAAAGAAAGUAACAGGAAUGUAUCCAAAAGAGCUUAGGCCCGGCUCUGUGCCUCACCUACUUGCAGGCCUGCUGGCGAUUGUAAGGCAAUGGUGCCUUGAGAAACAGCUUCCUGAGGUUGGUCUGUUUUCAGGACCUCUCACGUGAUUUUACAAAUAACCAGAACUCAUAUUACUCCCAGUUAAAAAGCAAAGUAGGGAAAGUUCUGGAUUGUAGGUAGAGGGACCACCCAAAAAGAUGACAGUAAAAUGAAAUAAAAAAUAUAUAUCUGAAUAUAAGAGAGUCCUCCCCCGAAAAAAAUUUAUUCCAGAGAAGAGGGAGUUACUUAUACACUGAGUCCUCAUAAAUUCUCUUGUAUUAUUAGGUGCGGUCCCAAAUGGUUUGGGCUUCCCUGGGAGCUCAGUUGGUAAAGAAUUCGCCUGCAAUGCAGGAGACCCUGAUUCGAUUCCUGGGUCAGGACGAUCCGCUGGAGAAGGGAUAGGCUACCCACUCCA
ensembl:lncRNA